GUGGGGAAUUUUGGACAAUGGGCGAAAGCCUGAUCCAGCAAUGCCGCGUGCAGGAAGAAGGCCUUCGGGUUGUAAACUGCUUUUGUACGGAACGAAACGGUCCGGGUUAAUACCCUGGGCUAAUGACGGUACCGUAAGAAUAAGCACCGGCUAACUACGUGCCAGCAGCCGCGGUAAUACGUAGGGUGCAAGCGUUAAUCGGAAUUACUGGGCGUAAAGCGUGCGCAGGCGGUUUUGUAAGACAGGCGUGAAAUCCCCGGGCUCAACCUGGGAAUUGCGCUUGUGACUGCAAGGCUGGAGUGCGGCAGAGGGGGAUGGAAUUCCGCGUGUAGCAGUGAAAUGCGUAGAUAUGCGGAGGAACACCGAUGGCGAAGGCAAUCCCCUGGGCCUGCACUGACGCUCAUGCACGAAAGCGUGGGGAGCAAACAGGAUUAGAAACCCUAGUAGUCC
rnacentral:rRNA from 1 species